rnacentral:SRP_RNA from 1 species
UCUGGGCACGGUGGCAUCCCCUGUCGUCUCAGCUACUCACGAGGAUGAGGUGGGCAGAUCAGUUGAGCCGAGGAGUUCUGUGCUGUGUUAUGAGAUGUCUCUGCUAAGUUCAGCAUCAGUAUGGUGACCUCCGGGGGGUGGGGGACCACCAGAUUGCCUAAGGAGGGCUGAACCGGCCCAGGUCAGAAACAGAGCAGGUCAAAAGUGUCCUGCUGUUCAGUAGAGGGAUCACGCUUGUGAAGAGCCACUGCGCUCCAGCCUGGGCAAUAUAGCACGACCUCAUCUCU